CAGUCGUGCUACUUGCUUGUGCGACUGACGCAUUUUCGCGACGCAAAUCUGCUUCUGAAUUUUCGCGGGACCCCCAGUCGCGCUUCAUCGCGCUCCUCCAUUGACUUUACAUGUAAACCUGAUGCUCUGGUCGCGUUUAUCACGUUCGGUGUAUACGCACCGUUAGCCUUGCAGUCGCCUCGCCCACCGUGAACCCACACUGUCGCUCUAUCCGUUUGUGACUUGAAAAAUGAAUAUGUCGCCUACUUGAAGUGUAUCUUGACUAUCAUGUUUUUCCUCUUUUUAUUGACAUUGUGCUCUUUUUUAUUUCUCUUUUCAGAUCAGAUUUGUAAAUUACCAUCCAUUCAAUAAACAGACCAAAUCCCGUAUACAAUUGUACCAACUCUGAAGAUGAACAGCCUCCAAAAAAAAAGGUUUCCCCAGGCCCCUCGAGUGAAAAUACCAGACCCCACCACUCUGCAGUCUGCCCCCCCUGCGCACUGAUAGCAACCGUCAUAGUGCCCCGCCCAGCUACCGGCACCUUUCGCCGGUAGCUCCGGCCCAACACACAAACUGACACGGCUAUGCGAUCUCCCCGGCCUGUAGAGUCUGCUUUUAAUGCCUUCGGUAUCGAUGAUUCCAGACAGUCUGUGAGGCCACUAUUGCUAGG